rnacentral:ncRNA from 2 species
CAGUGAUUCCCGGGGUGUUCCCCGAUUUAAUAUCGGGGGGCUGAGAUCAAACCCGUAGAACCUGAUCAGGGUAAUGCCUGCGCAGGGAAGGACGAGUCCUCACAU